rnacentral:rRNA from 1 species
AACGAACGCUGGCGGCAUGCCUAACACAUGCAAGUCGAACGAGACCUUCGGGUCUAGUGGCGCACGGGUGCGUAACGCGUGGGAACCUGCCCUUAGGUUCGGAAUAACUCCCCGAAAGGGGUGCUAAUACCGGAUAAUGUCUUCGGACCAAAGAUUUAUCGCCUUUGGAUGGGCCCGCGUUGGAUUAGCUAGUUGGUAGGGUAAAAGCCUACCAAGGCGACGAUCCAUAGCUGGUCUGAGAGGAUGAUCAGCCACACUGGGACUGAGACACGGCCCAGACACCUCGGGGAGGCAGAUGUGACGAAUCUCCGAUACUGGGCAAAGCACUGAGCCAACAGUGCGGCGUGAGAGACGAGGCUUUUAUGGUGGUAAAGCUCUUUUCCCCGGGAGAAGAAAGACCUUACGGGCAGAUUAACCGCCGGCAAACCCCGACCCAGAGGCGGCGGUAGUAAGAGGAAGACCCCCCUCUGAAC